UGGGGAAUAUUGCACAAUGGGCGAAAGCCUGAUGCAGCAACGCCGCGUGAGUGAUGAAGGCCUUCGGGUUGUAAAGCUCUGUCUUUUGGGACGAUAAUGACGGUACCAAAGGAGGAAGCCACGGCUAACUACGUGCCAGCAGCCGCGGUAAUACGUAGGUGGCAAGCGUUGUCCGGAUUUACUGGGCGUAAAGGAUGCGUAGGCGGAUUUUUAAGUGAGAUGUGAAAACCCUAAGCUUAACUUGGGGACUGCAUUUCAUACUGGGAAAAUCUAGAGUGCGGGAGAGGAGAAUGGAAUUCCUAGUGUAGCGGUGAAAUGCGUAGAGAUUAGGAAGAACACCAGUGGCGAAGGCGAUUCUCUGGACCGUAACUGACGCUGAGGCAUGAAAGCGUGGGUAGCAAACAGGAUUAGAUACCCUGGUAGUCCACGCCGUAAACGAUGAGUACUAGGUGUAGGAGGUAUCGACCCCUUCUGUGCCGCAGUUAACACAAUAAGUACUCCG
rnacentral:rRNA from 1 species